AUCGUAGAGUAUAUAAAAGCCUAGGAGCAAACGCUUGCUGGCACCUCGACGGAUAUGACAAACUCAAACCAUAUGGGUUUGCAGUACAUGGUGCUGUUUGUGGUUACAGCAGAAGAAUUCUGUGGCUUGAGGUUGUCAGACCAAACAAAAAUCCAAAUGUAAUUGCAGAAAUAUUUCUUAAUGCUGUUAAGGAGUUUGGAGGCUGCACAUUGUGGGACAGAAAAUAUUUUACUGUCUGCAAUGCAAUGCUACCUGAGAGCUGCUGGAGAUGAUGAAUGGGCAGGGGAGAAAGCUCAUGUUUAUGGAUCCUCUCUUUCAAAUCAAAGAAUUGAAGCAUGGUGGUCUUUCCUGAGACAAACUAGGUCAGGCUGGUGGAUUGACUUUUUCCAAGAUAUGGCACAAUAAGGUUUGUUAGAGUUGGGUAAUACCUACCACAUGGAGGCACUGUGGUUUUGUUUUAACAUGUUAUUGCAAAAAGAUUUAACAUAAGUAAAAGAUUACUGGAAUAGCCACUACAUUUGUAGGUCGCAACAUGAAACCGUAUUAGGAGUCCAAGACAUUUUGUUCUUUCUGCCAGAAUACUAUGGGGGUGAAAACUGCCUAAUAGAGAUUUCUGCUGAUAAGCUGAGUGAAAUGGAAGAGAAAAUUGACCCAUGCAUUUGUGAGGACAUUUACAAAGAAUAUUUUGAUUAUGUCUUGGAAAACAAAAAUUUGGCAUAUCCUGAAGGCAUAAAUGAAGGAUUUGAAAUUUUUCAACAUUUAAUUAAUGUACCACAAUGAAGUUAGUGUUAAUUAUAUAGAUUAUCACACAACAUAAUAAAAGUUAAAUAAAGUAAA